GUAGUCUGCAACUCGACUACAUGAAGCUGGAAUCGCUAGUAAUCGCGAAUCAGAAUGUCGCGGUGAAUACGUUCCCGGGUCUUGUACACACCGCCCGUCACACCAUGGGAGUUGGGAAUGCCCGAAGCCGGUGACCUAACCGAAAGGGAGGAGCCGUCGAAGGCAGGCUUGAUAACUGGGGUGAAGUCGUAACAAGGUAGC
rnacentral:rRNA from 1 species